rnacentral:rRNA from 1 species
AUGGUGGAGCACUUACUUGAUCUUGGCGAAGAUCUUAUCGCCGAGAUCUUGACCCACCUGCCGACCAGGUCCGUCCUCGUCGCGCGCGCCGUCUGCAACGACUUCCGCCGCGCCGCCACCAGUGCGGCCUUCCUCCCCGCCCACGCGCGCCGUCGCCCGCUCGAGAUCCUCCUCUACGACAGGACGACGGCAAGCCACGUCGACGACUACGCGUACCUGGACGCUCUGUCCGUCUCCGUCCGCCAUCCGGGCCGCCCGGUGCGCCGUCCUCUCGCGCGCCUCCCUGCGACCAAACCCCAGGUGGAGCUCCUGGGCGAGCAGUUCUGCCUCCAGAUGACCUCGUGCGACGGCCUCCUCCUGCUCGGGACGGCCGUCGCCGGCCAGUACUUCGUCUCCAACCCCACCACGCGGCAGUGGGCCGAGCUCCUGCGCCUGCGCCGCCAACACAUUGAGCACGGCGGCUGGUCGCCGGACUCCUUGCAUACCUCCGCGUACCAAGAGUCCGGGUUCUACUUCCACGAGCCGUCCGGCGAGUACCGGCUUCUGUGUCAUGUCACGAUCGAAGACGGCUUGGCCCCGGCGUACUACGUCUUCUCGACCGGCGCCGACGAGCCCCGCCGGCUAGACAACGUGAAAGCCGGGAGCAUUGGGGACUUCUUUUCCCCCACUGGCUGUGACAUGAUCACCCCGGCGGUUCUCCACGGGCACCUGCACUGGCUGAGGCACCCCGAGGCCGGUUCCGCCAGCGAGAUGGCGGCGUUCGACACGGUGGACGAGACUUUCCGUCGGAUGCCUGCCCCGCCCGUGGCCAUAGAGCUCUUGGCCAGACUGAUUGUCGCGGACGGGUCGCUCAUGGCUUCCAAGUUCAGGAAGCUGGUCGUGGACCUGUAG